AUUGAACGCUGGCGGCAUGCCUUACACAUGCAAGUCGAACGGCAGCACGGGAGCAAUCCUGGUGGCGAGUGGCGAACGGGUGAGUAAUACAUCGGAACGUGCCCAGUAGUGGGGGAUAGCCCGGCGAAAGCCGGAUUAAUACCGCAUGAGACCUGAGGGUGAAAGCGGGGGAUCGAAAGGCCUUGCGCUAUUGGAGCGGCCGAUGGCAGAUUAGCUAGUUGGUAGGGUAAAGGCCUACCAAGGCAACGAUCUGGAGUUGGUCUGAGAGGACGACCAGCCACACUGGGACUGAGACACGGCCCAGACUCCUACGGGAGGCAGCAGUGGGGAAUUUUGGACAAUGGGCGCAAGCCUGAUCCAGCAAUGCCGCGUGCAGGAAGAAGGCCUUCGGGUUGUAAACUGCUUUUGUCAGGGAAGAAAUCUUCUGGGCUAAUACCCUGGGAGGAUGACGGUACCUGAAGAAUAAGCACCGGCUAACUACGUGCCAGCAGCCGCGGUAACAC
rnacentral:rRNA from 1 species